AUUGAACGCUGGCGGCAGGCCUAACACAUGCAAGUCGGGCGAGCGGCGGACGGGUGGGUAAUGAAUGGGGAUCUGCCUGAGGGAGGGGGAUAACUACUGGAAACGGAAGCUAAUACCGCGUACCAUAGGAGGAGCCCAAGUGGGAGUAGGUAGUUGGGGAGGUAAAGGCGCACCAAGCCGACGAUCUCUAGAUGGUCUGAGAGGAUGACCAUCCACACUGGGACUGGUACACGGCCCAGACUCCUACGGGAGGCAGCAGUGGGGCAUAUUGCGCAAUGGGGGCAACCUGACGCAGCCAUGCCGGGUGAAUGAAGAAGGCCUUCGGGUUGUACAGUUCUUUCGGUAGCGAGGCGUUAACUACAGAAGAAGCACCGGCUAACUCCGUGCCAGCCGCCGCGGUAAUAC
rnacentral:rRNA from 1 species